rnacentral:rRNA from 1 species
AGUGAACGCUGGCGGUAGGCCUAACACAUGCAAGUCGAACGGCAGCACAGUAAGAGCUUGCUCUUACGGGUGGCGAGUGGCGGACGGGUGAGGAAUACAUCGGAAUCUACUUUUUCGUGGGGGAUAACGUAGGGAAACUUACGCUAAUACCGCAUACGACCUACGGGUGAAAGCAGGGGAUCUUCGGACCUUGCGCGAUUGAAUGAGCCGAUGUCGGAUUAGCUAGUUGGCGGGGUAAAGGCCCACCAAGGCGACGAUCCGUAGCUGGUCUGAGAGGAUGAUCAGCCACACUGGAACUGAGACACGGCCCAGACUCCUACGGGAGGCAGCAGUGGGGAAUAUUGGACAAUGGGCGCAAGCCUGAUCCAGCCAUACCGCGUGGGUGAAGAAGGCCUUCGGGUUGAAAAGCCCUUUUGUUGGGAAAGAAAAGCAGCAGGUUAAUACCCCGCUGUUCUGACGGUACCCAAAGAAUAAGCACCGGCUAACUUCGUG